CCCAUGAGGAAUUCUAAGUAAUGACAACAAAGCUCCAUACUGAGAAACACAGAGAAAGUGUAGAGCUGAGAGUCUUAAUUAACUUUGUAGCAACUCAUUUGGCAAUGGCUUGAAUGUAACGGACGUUCCUUAAUAU